rnacentral:rRNA from 1 species
AUUGAACGCUGGCGGCAUGCCUUACACAUGCAAGUCGAACGCGUCCUUCGGGACGAGUGGCAGACGGGUGAGUAACGCGUGGGAACGUACCCUUUGGUUCGGAACAACUCCGGGAAACUGGAGCUAAUACCGGAUAAGCCCUUCGGGGGAAAGAUUUAUCGCCAGAGGAUCGGCCCGCGUUAGAUUAGCUUGUUGGUGAGGUAAUGGCUCACCAAGGCUACGAUCUAUAGCUGGUCUGAGAGGAUGAUCAGCCACACUGGGACUGAGACACGGCCCAGACUCUUACGGGAGGCAGCAGUGGGGAAUCUUGGACAAUGGGCGAAAGCCUGAUCCAGCCAUGCCGCGUGAAUGAUGAAGGCCCUAGGGUUGUAAAAUUCUUUCGACGGGGAAGAUAAUGACGGUACCCGUAGAAGAAGCUCCGGCUAACUUCGUGCCAGCCGCCGCCGUAAUAC